rnacentral:rRNA from 1 species
CAGUAGCCGCGGUAAUACGGAGGGUGCAAGCGUUAAUCGGAAUUACUGGGCGUAAAGCGCACGCAGGCGGUCUGUCAAGUCGGAUGUGAAAUCCCCGGGCUCAACCUGGGAACUGCAUUCGAAACUGGCAGGCUAGAGUCUUGUAGAGGGGGGUAGAAUUCCAGGUGUAGCGGUGAAAUGCGUAGAGAUCUGGAGGAAUACCGGUGGCGAAGGCGGCCCCCUGGACAAAGACUGACGCUCAGGUGCGAAAGCGUGGGGAGCAAACAGGAUUAGAUACCCGCGUAGUCCCUGUCUCUUAUAA